rnacentral:tRNA from 1 species
GCAGAUGUGGCGGAACUGGCAGACGCACAGGACUUAAAAUCCUGCGGGUGUUGAACCCGUACCGGUUCGAUUCCGGUCAUCUGCACCA